UGGGGAAUAUUGCGCAAUGGGGGAAACCCUGACGCAGCAACGCCGCGUGAAGGAUGAAGGUUUUCGGAUUGUAAACUUCUUUGACGAGGGACGAAUAAUGACGGUACCUCGAAAACAAGCCACGGCUAACUACGUGCCAGCAGCCGCGGUAAUACGUAGGUGGCAAGCGUUGUCCGGAUUUACUGGGUGUAAAGGGCGAGUAGGCGGGGCUUCAAGUCAGAUGUGAAAGGUAUCGGCUUAACCGAUAGACUGCAUUUGAAACUGAGGCUCUUGAGUGAUGGAGAGGCAGGCGGAAUUCCUAGUGUAGCGGUGAAAUGCGUAGAUAUUAGGAGGAACACCAGUGGCGAAGGCGGCCUGCUGGACAUUAACUGACGCUGAGGCGCGAAAGCGUGGGGAGCAAACA
rnacentral:rRNA from 1 species